UUCAUUUAUUAAUCUUGUAAUGUUAGGUGUUUACUAAACACAUUGUCGAUUAUCUAUUAAAUUUCAAAUUAAAACCAUGUAGAAUUUGGACUAAAUUCUAAAUUCAAACCUUGAAAUUCAUCAUUGUCGAUUCAGCCAGAAUUCGGAUUAACAAUUCCUUCCCUUUACACUUCACAACAGAAGGAAUUUUAGUCCAAGGAGGCCACGGGACCUUCAUAUCUAGUUGCUUCCAAGGGCAACAUUCUACUGUUGGAAGGGGUCCAGGUGAGAGAUUUUUCAGGCACUGCCAUUGACCUUUGGAGCAAUGAUAUUGCAAUCACAGAUGUUCUGUUUUCAGCAGCCAUUGUUGUGUUAUUAAGGGGUCAGUCUAACAUUCCACUGGGUGUUCUGAAUGUGGUCAUGGGGGAAAGCUCCUGAUAUUGGCGAUGCAUCACGUGCAAGUCCUGAGGUUUUCUGCCCUUCGUCAAUUUUCUUCUCUGUUUUCUUUAUGAUAGCACGGCAUUGUCCUGGUCAGAGUAAUUGGAUAUCCAAACGACAUAAUGUUGAUAUUUCUUGCUUUAUACAUCUGGUUCAGGUAAGAAAAAUCACUUUCGCAGGAUCAACAGCUGUGGGAAAGAAGUUUAUGGCUGGUGCUGCUGGAACUGUUAAAAGGGUAAUCUCUGGAACUUGAUGGGAAUGCACCCGGCAUAGUAUUUGAUGAUGCAAACCUAGACGUGGCAGUUAAAGGAUCAGUCAAGUUAGAGUGGUUCCCUGUGCAUACUAAUACUAAUUGUGCUUGCAUCAAAGUUCCGUAAUAGGGGACAAACAUGUGUUUGUGCAAACAGAAUAAUCGGGCAAGAGGGUAUCUUUGACAAAUUUGCAGAUGCUUUUUCAAAGGCUGUUCAGAGGAUGCUAGUUGGAGAUGGAUUUAGUAAAGGUGUGGCGCAGAUUGGAGGUGAAUGUGCUUUGACAAGCCAAACUGGAGGUCUUGAUUUUUGACUGGGGACUAAUCCAGGUCGGGGGAGAUGACUGAAUUGAAAAAUCCUUAGGACAUUCAGAACUGCAUUGUUUAUCAGCUUCAUUGUACACAUACAAAUCUACAUUCUGUCUCCUAUUACCCUGGUUUUCAAUUCCCAGAAAACCAGUUCUUGGUUUACUUUGCACCGCUUUUACUGCCAUAACGAGGCAUUCUUUCAUGCUGUGCAGAUCAAAUAUGUCUGCUUAGGCGAUAUGAACAGAAAAUGAGGUCCAAGAUUUGUAUUAGUCACCAAUUGUCUGUUGUAGUUGGAAUCCGGGUGGUUGCCCCCUUUAAAUUUAAAUCCAGUCAGGAAUCAGGAUGCUUGCUUUUCGGUUUAUUCAGGCAAAUAACGCGGCACAUAAUUUUAAGGUAGCUCAGUUGGAGAGUGUGCAGCCUCAACUUUUGGAUCGUGAGUGUAGAAGAUGACCAGCAAACAGAGCAUCACAGCAUGUGAACGUAAUUAAAUGCAAAUUUGAACCAUUAUCCCAGAUAAGUUCCUAUUUUACAGAAAUAAUAGUGCUUGUUUUCUUCUGGGUAAUGCUUAUCCUCUCUGUCCCGUUUCUUCUCCUCAAAUUAUUUGUACUUGCUGUUAUUUCCAAUAGUCUUAAUUAAAGAGAGUUUCCCUGAACGAAGGAAAAAAAAAUGAAGAAAAACAUUUGAAAAGGAAGUGGGCUAGAAAAAUUCGACAGUC